CCCUCUCUCCCAGUCUCUGCUGGUGCCGGGUCCUCCACCCGCCAUCCCUUUCCACUCUCCGCCUAGUUGAUUGAUUGGAGAUUCAUUUCAUCAGAAAGGGUAGCGCGGAUUGGUUUCUUCAUUUUUCCUGGCAAGUAAUCCAAAAACCCUUGCUCGAAUUGAUUCUCGUUACUUAUUCUACCUGUUUUCUUUGAGAUCCACAAAACUGUCUUCCAGAAAAGAGAUCCACAAAACUGCACUCACACCCCAACCCACACCCCGCAAUUUAGUUUGUGCGGAUUCGUGCGCUGCGAGGUGCCCUACUAAUCCGAAUCAAUUUCUUCCCAAUGAACUGACCGGCACAAUAAUUGCCUCACAAGCAUGUAUGCCCUUCUUUGCUGUUGUUUUUGUUGUUUUCUGUUAUCCUAACCGUUUUCUCUCUCCAUCUUCAAUGCAAUGAAGCUCAGUUCGCCUGGGACACUUCAAGGAAAAAACUUUUUGUUCAAUUGACGGGGAGGAACUCGUAGUAGACGAACUCAUUGUAAUAACUGCAUAACCGCUGAUCAUUGCAGGUCUUAAUAACUAGAUAACCGUACCAUGUCAGCACUCAUGAUAUGGUCCUUUCCUCAAAUUGUGGCAGCAUCUACACUAUUCGCAGGGGGAAGACCCAAUGAGCUGACUGUACAGUGUCCACAAAUUCCGAGUGCCCGAGUCAAUACCAUUUCGGUUACCGGAAAAGUCUCUGUGAAAACAACAUUGUGUGGUGUAAGAUGUUAUGCAACUCAAACCCAAAACGUGCAUAGGAAAUCUUCUAUUGCAACUAUCAAGCAAGCUGAUCCCAAAGGGAAGUUGAACGGGCCUAAACUUGAUGAUGGCAGUGGGGGCUUUCCUGUUUCCUCCAUUCCGCUUUGGUAAAGGCGGGGGAGGUGGUGGUGGUGGUGGGGGAGGUAGCAGAAACUAUUUUGGUGGUUUUUUUCCUAUUUGCCUGUGUAUUGCUUCUGGAUUACCUGAAGGAAGCCGAGAAAAACCUGCUUCGACAUGGCCCUGGUUCAGGAGAUCAAGCAAGCAUUGGUCUGGUCUUCUUCCUUCAAAAAUGAGAUUCUUCCUUUGUUUCCAAAUCUGCCAAGUGUCUAUAUAAAAAUAUCCAUGAAGAACCAGUGAUGGAAUUCCUGUUGGGUUCUCUUCAUCGUUUGAAAGAAAUUGAGGUCUCUUCUCCACUCAAGACCAAUGGUUUGCCAGCAGGAUCUGCUGAAGGUGCAUGAAAAGAAUAGGUGAAAUGCAGUCUCCUUCACAUUGUCAUUGCAUAGUGCACAAUUGUAAUUGUUGUCUACUAUGUUGAAGUUUCUUCUGAGUAGUUUUCUAGUGUUCAAUCUAUCCAUGAGUAGAAGCCAUGAGAAUGUUCUGAGCUUGUUACAACAUCUUGAUUUCCACAUCCUUAAGGCGAAGGAGGUCUGAUGUUUUUGUA